GAAUAUUGGUCAAUGGGCGAGAGCCUGAACCAGCCAUGCCGCGUGCAGGAAGACGGCCUUCUGGGUUGUAAACUGCUUUUAUCAGGGAACAAAAAGCCCAUGCGUGGGAAAUUGCGUGUACCUGAAGAAUAAGCACCGGCUACCUCCGUGCACGCAGCCGCGGUAAUACGGAGGGUGCAAGCGUUGUCCGGAUUUAUUGGGUUGAAAGGGUGCGUAGGUGGUCAAUUAAGUCAGUGGUGAAAUCCUGCAGCUCAACUGUAGAACUCCCAUUGAUACUGGUUGACUUGAGUAUAGACCAGGUAGGCGGAAUUUAUGGUGUAGCGGUGAAAUGCAUAGAUACCAUAAAGAACACCGAUAGCGAAGGCAGCUUACUAGACUAUAACUGACACUGAGGCACGAAAGCGUGGGGAGCGAACAGG
rnacentral:rRNA from 1 species